UACGAAGGGGGCUAGCGUUGCUCGGAAUCACUGGGCGUAAAGCGCACGUAGGCGGGUCUUUAAGUCAGGGGUGAAAUCCUGGAGCUCAACUCCAGAACUGCCUUUGAUACUGAGGAUCUCGAGUCCGGGAGAGGUGAGUGGAACUCCGAGUGUAGAGGUGAAAUUCGUAGAUAUUCGCAAGAACACCAGUGGCGAAGGCGGCUCACUGGCCCGAUACUGACGCUGAGGCACGAAAGCGUGGGGAGCGAACAGG
rnacentral:rRNA from 1 species